UACGGAGGUGGCAAGCGUUGUUCGGAAUUACUGGGCGUAAAGGCGCGUAGGCGGCAAGGCAAGUCAGGUGUGAAAGCCCCGAGCUUAACUCGGGAAUUGCAUCUGAAACUGCUGUGCUUGAGUUCUGGAGGGGUAGUGGAAUUCCCAGUGUAGCGGUGAAAUGCGUAGAUAUUGGGAGGAACACCUGCGGCGAAGGCGGCUACCUGGACA
rnacentral:rRNA from 1 species